UGGGCGAGGGGGUCGGGGCAACCCUAACUCGUUGAGAGUAGACUCUUCUGCUGUAGCUUCAAACCAAACAACUAAAUCCUGGGCUGAGGUUGCUACCAUGCCUAGUAGAUCUUCAAUUAAACUAAGAUGGGGAAGCUGAAAAGACUCAUUCAACCUAGGGACAUUACCAUAAACAUUGGAAAGGAUGCCCCAAUUCCCGAAUGCCCUAUCCCUGGUGAAAGGUGGUUGUUUCUGCCAUAAUUUUAUUGGAAAAUAGGAACAAAGUUGUGUCUCUGUUUUAAGAUUUUUAAUAAAUUAACUUUACAAAUAUUUGAUCUCUGCAGAUGGAAAGAAAUAAGGCAUGACAACACAGUUACAUGGCUUGCUUUUUGGAAUGAUCCAAUCAACCCAAAGGAAUUCAAAUACGUGUUCUUGGUAGCUAGCAGUUCUUUGAAAGGGCAAAGUGACAAGGAGAAAUAUGAGAAAUUAAGGAUGUUGAAGGACUACAUACAAGGCAUCAGAGCAGCAUAUACUAAGGAUUUUGCUAGUAAGGAUAUCACAAGGCGGCAAAUAGCAGUUGCCACCUAUCGUAUUGAUAAACUAGCUCUCAGGGCAGGCAAUGA